rnacentral:lncRNA from 1 species
GAAACAAAGAAAGAAACUUCUAGGCAUUACUUUCCUCUUCUUCAUUGAGCAAAGCCGCCAUAACCAAGGAUCAAAGAAUCAUACAGAUCGGAAACAUGCAUAGGUUUGUUGAGUUGUUAGAGGUAAAUAUGAGUUCCAUUUAGUUGACUUGACCUUAUAACCUCAAAUAUUUGGAGUUAUCCAUUAUCAACUACAUCCACAAGUGUUAUGGCUGAAUAUAUCCCAAAUUGGAAUGGCUCCAACAUUGAGUCAAUCGGAAUCUCUAAAUCAACAACUUAGGUAAAUCUUCUCAAUUCUCCAAUGAUAGAAGCUCUCAAAAUUUGUUUUAUUGUAUCUUCCCUUUUCCCUCUCUUAUACUAUUUACCGUUUUAAGAUAGAGACUCAUAUCUAUCUUAUACCAAUAAAGAAAAAGAAGUGUUGGAGAAUGUAAAAGCAUAUACAACAUGACUUCAUUUCUUUUAUAUGUAAGAAAUCAGGCCCCUUCCAUAUCAUGUUUUAGUCCAGUGAACGUUCUCAAGAUGGCUUAACUUUGAAGCUUCAAAUAUGUUGCUGUUCAAGUACAAUAAGAUUUUGUGCUUCCUUUGGUACUUUAUGAUAUUCUGCAAAGUUAAUUAUCCUUGCAAAAUCGAACCCUUAGUUAGUAAUAAAAUCUCCCACUUUGUUGGCUACGCGUAUUGCAUGAGUGAUUUCGUGUAGUUCACUUACUCUCCGCGUAUUGAUUCUCCUUAUUUACAUUCUUACACUUCAAGAUAUCUCCCAUUCACCUUAUAAUACCUUUUCAAAUCCAACGAAUCCAUUUCAAUAGCCACAAGGAUGUGGUUAUUCUUUAUGUAAUAUUUAAGGCUAUUCCCAAAAGAUACUACAUCUACAAUCCAAUUAGUCGCAUAUAUGAUCCGACAAGUACUAGAAUAAAUAAACUGACCCCUUUCAUCUUUAUUACAAAAACUAGCUGCAAUAGGCCAAGGGUUACCCUUGGGUGCACCAUCAGAAUUGCACUUGAACCACCCUUGUGAGGGAAAAUACCACCUCACUACCUCGUAUAUGAUUUUAGGGUUGGUACCUAUCAAAGUAAUGAAUUAUUUGAUCCUAAUCUCUAGGAAUAUAUUGUAACCAUGAAUAUAUGCUUUUUGCCAGCACGUAUAAAUAAUAAUUAAUCUCUUGAAUUACCUUUAGCCUAGUAAUAGUAUCUACAUAAACCAUAGUGUUUCUCCCCAUCCAAAGCUGACAAAAAAUAAUAGCAAGUGUUGCUCGGAAACAUAAUCUCUUGCACGCACGUAUAAUAAGGAAGAAGACCUUGCUGGCUAUUCCUUCUUAACAAAGGCUUAUGUUUUUUUCCACUGUCUACAUUACACUAUUCAACCAUGGCCUAAUUCACUUAUAUAAAAUGCCCUAGAAUACCUGCUGCUCUAGUGUAUACUCGCAAGAUAUAAUUUUCUAACUGACCUAUUAGGAAAAGGUGUAUAGUUGUCUCUUGUAGAGGUGGAACACAAUAUCAACAAAUUGAUACCAUUGGAAAACCCCAUUUUGCUGUAUUGUCAUCUAUUGGAAAUUUGAGAUCCAUAAUCUCCACCAAAAAAAUAGAUUUUAAUUGGAAGUCCUUUGGUCCAUAAUUUCCCUUAGUACCAGUAAACAUCUUUCUUACUUCUCAAAUCAUCCAAGGCACUCAUCACAGUGAACCUACUAGAAAUCCAGUAAGCUUUAUCUACCUCAUAUUCUCCUCAUGGAAUUUUUAUGUUAUUAAUUACAUGUUUAGUGAUGUUUGGGGGAAGAUUUUCCCACAUAAAAUUAUGAUUCCAUUCUCCUUGCUACAUAAAGUAAGCCAGUUUAUUUGUAGAGUUUUCAUACCAAAAAUCUUAAGGUAGAAUCCGCAGCAAAGGACCCAACUUGGCCGAGUUAUACAUCAAUACAUUAACACUUCAACUCUAAGUCUCCCACUAGAUAAAUUUUUCAAUUUAUCUUUUGUCUCAAGCAUGAACUUUCAUAGUUGACACCCAUUUCCAUUGCACUACACCAUUGUUGUAUUAUUUGUAAUAUUUUGUCCAUAUGAUACUGGACAAAAGAGAAUUAGUAGUUCUGAACAUCAACCAAAUCUUUGUAAAUAAAGCUUUAGACAAACCAAAAGAAGAUCUGAAAUCAAUCCCACCUUCUUAUUUAAGGCAACACACCUUAUCUUGUGUUACCCAAUGUUUACAUCUUCCUUCUUCCUUAUUACUUCAAAAUAAUCAUACAAAGAUCUUGUAGAUCUUAUUAAGAGUAUAUUUUGUAGUAGCCUAAGAAAAAAAAAUAUAGAUAGUCAUACAUUAGAGAAUAUUCUUGAUUAAAAUAACCUUACCAGAAAAGGAUAGCAAUUUGUCUUUCUAAUUUGUAGCCUGCUUUUGAUCUUUUUAAUGAGAUCAUUGUAGUAUAUUUUCUUCUUUAUAAAGUGAAAAAUGGGAUAACCCAAAUAUAAAAAGGAAAAAGAGCCCUUUACAAAUACCAGUGCACUAUCCCACCUCCUAGAUCAAGAAAAUAAAUGCCUUUGAUACAUAUAAUAGGCAAUCUUAUUCAAAUUUAUCAGCUGGCUUGAGAUUUCUUCAUACUUCAUCAAUAUUUCCAUAAUCAAGAAAAUUUUUAAUUUGGUUUGUAGAAGUCAAAAACAUUGUGUCAUCUGCAUAACCCAUAUGACUCAAUUUUCCACAUCUUUUCAAUGGAUAUCCCUUGUACACCAUAUUAUCAUACAACUCAUUUAAGGCUCUUCAAAGAAACUUGGCAGCCAUAAAUAGGGCUGGUGAAAUGGUAUCAUCUUGUUUCACACCUAUUGUAGAAUGAAGAAAACUAGUGUCCUAUACAUUUAAUAGUAUAGACUACCUAUAUUAGUAAUUGAUAUCCAAGUCCGAUCAAUGAAUAUCUAAUUAAACACAAUCGUCCUUAGAAUGUUAGUAAGAUAUAACCAAGACACCCUGUAAUAUGGCUUGGUCGUGUCCAAUUUAAUUACUACAUUUGCAGGCUUUCCCCAUUUUCCUUAUGUAUUUCACCAUCUUCUAAGUAAGUAACCUUUUUUUAAUGAUGCAUCUUCCUUGAUAUAAAUAUGUGAUUAUGAGAAAUCAACUUUGGUAGAAUACCUUAAAGUCUCCCAUGAACAAUCCAGGAAAUAAUUUUGUUCAUAAAAUUACUUAGGCUAAUAGGUCUAAGGUCUGAGUCAAUUCUUUGUUGGGGAGAAGAACUAUCAGCUUUGAAAAAAAUUACUAUUAGUCCAUCUGGUUACUAACACUAAAGCCAUCUAACUUGAAUACUAUUUUCUUAACCUCUUCAUAUCUAGGAUAGUUGUCAAUUUCUUAUUAACAUCUGUUUUCUAUUACUUGUGGGUGUUGUAUUUAUGUUAUCCCAUCUUGUUCCAUGCUUUACUAUGUAUUUGUGUAGUAUUCCGUGUCUCGAGCCGGGGGUCUAUCAGAAACAGCCUUUCUACUUCUUUAGAGGUAGAGGUAUAGACUGCGUACGUCUUACCCUCCCCAGACCCCACUAUGUGGGAAUACACUAGGUUUGUUGUUGUUUUUGUUGUUGUAGUUAGGAAAGAUGGAAUAGAUUCCAGCAGAAAAAUCAGUACCUUCAUCCCCUUGAGUAAACUGAUUAUGGUUGAAGUUUUUUCUUCUCUUGCCAUCUCUUCUUCAUUUUUUAUCCAAUCUCCUUUACUAUUUUGAAUUCUCUUAAUUUCACACCUUUUUGUUCUAUGAUUCACAAGAUUAUGGAAGAAUUAUUCUUGUCACCAUUAGUAAACCAAGAAAUUCCAUCCUUUUAUCUCAAGAAUUCCUCUUCUAAAUUGAUAUAUCUUUUCAUUUCUAUUUGUACUUAUUUUAGUAUCAUUCUGUUGAUUGCGGUAGGCUAUUCAGAAAAAAGUUUCCCCUUUGUUUUAACGACUUCUUCCUUUAUAAUAAGAUGUUUUAAUAUGUCAGCAAAUGUUUCCUUAUUCCAUUGACUUAGAGCCUAUUCACCCUCUUUAUUUUUUGCUUAAAGAUAACAAAUGGAUGCCCUUCACAGUUUGCAAACAAAUUUGGUUCCAUAAUCUUCAAAAAUAUCAGCUUGCUCUAUCAAAAAGUUGAAGAACCUGAAAUGUUUCUUAAAGAUUUUAAUACAUUCUCAUAUAGUAAUGAACAGUAGAGCUUGGUCCGACUCUAUUCUAUCCAGAUGUUCCAUCUCUAUGAAACCAUAAGUUGUUUGAAGGUUUGCAUUGGCUAACACUUUCUCCAGCCUCUCAAAUAUACAUUCUUCAUCAAUCCUACUAUCCCAUCAUGUGAAUCAGUUGCCUUUGAAUCCCACAUCAAACAACCGAUAUAAAUUUAUACACCAAGCAAAAUCAUUACAUUAUAUAGGUGUCACUGGUUAGCCUCCAAUUUCUCUUCCCCAUUAAGUACCAUAAUAAAAUCUCCCCCAAUUAACCAUUGAAUAGUUAUUAUGGAAGAAAACUGAUAAAUACUAUCCCACAAUUGCAUCCUUUCAUUAUCAUUACAUUUAGCAUAGGUGGAUUUAUAAGAUAAAUCAUAAAGUAGAUGGCUUGGUAGAUAGAUAUAAGGUAGAUUAGUAGCUAAAGGAUUCGUUCAAGAAUAUUGAUUUGAACCCCUUUCCGUAAAGUCAAGUGGCCUAAAGGAUCCCUUUAGAGAUAGGGAUGAGUACGGUCCUCUUGUACUCUAUAGGUAUCAUAGGUCAAUUGAGAAGAUAAGAAAAUAAUCUAAGUAAAGUAAAAAUAUAAGCACAUCAAGUGCAUUACUUACAUUUCUACAUCAUCCCUAAUAAAAAACCGAAUCUUCCAUUUGUGUUAGCUCAUGCAGUAUGUAUUCCUUUCCUCCUCUUAUAUUUUUGAAUGUAUUUUUGCAUGUUGCAAAGGUCCCAUCAAUGUUACUAUGCAGAACAUGUGAUGUAUGUUUAACAUCUAAAGUCUAUUAAAAGCUUAAUGGGUAUUAACUAAGCUGAUGUUCCACAUGAAAACAUUUAAUAUCCUAAAACAUUGAGUUAUGUUGUUGCUCCUUUUGUUAACAUACCAAUAGGUGUUUAUAGUUCUCCCUGUCUUUCUGUGUUAUUUUGUUUCUUCCUCUUUUUGUUGACAUUAGAGAGCUGUCUGUUUUUUUUUCAACCUUUUAACUUUUGUUGUCAAUAUUAUCCACUAAAUUUUGUCUGUCUGUAUGAUUUUCUAGGUUAUGUUCUAUGGCAAGGUGUUGAUUGUGACAUUAGAUUUCAUUCGGGCUUCUUUAGGAGAAAUUGCCUUGAGUAGCAUUGCCUCCUACUCCUCUUUUGUAAGUACCAACUCCUUAUUGCAACUCAUCUCUUCUAUCAUUUCAUCAACUAAGGUAUUGUGCACCACAAUAUCCUUUACCCCAUUAUUUGCAUAUCUCCAUUAGAUUUUUCUACUAGCAUUUUUGAUAUUGGAGUUUCAUUACCACUAUAGAUUGAUUAUGUGUUUCCUCCACAUUUCUAUCAUGUCCAUCAUUACAUUUUUUAUCCUUUGUGCAUUAGACAUUAUCCUCCAAAUGAUGAUCUGAUUCACAUUGUUGCACCAAUUUAAUAAUGCUUUUUGGAAAUCUUUUAGAAUUAUAUCUUCUUCCUAUUUUACUAUUUCUUGCUCCACUAUGUCUCUCAAUUUGUGUUUCCAAAAAGAUUUGUAAUCCAUUGCUUUAUUUUAGCUGCUUGUAUUUCCUUGUAAGUGUUUUGUUUCAUCAUGUAUUUUCCAUCCUUGUUUACCCUUCCCCUCUAUUCAUUGGUUUUCAUCCUCUAUUGACAAUACAUUAAAUUUAUUUUUGAUAAUAACUUGCUCCUUGUCUUUGUUUGAACUUGUAAAUUUCUCCAUGGUAGUAGCAUUUGAAGCACUUUCUUUAACUAAAGCCUAUGCAUCCCUGUCACCUAUGAAUUUCCCACUUUAUAAUGUCUUUGGAAGAAACUUAUGGUUUAUUUGAAGUGUCUUCUAAGCUUGUGGUGCUUCUUGAGAUGGUUGCGGGCCUUCUCCAUUAUCAGUUCCUUUCACUGCAUUAGGCUAAAUAUUUUUGCAUUCAUCCUCUUUAUAGACUUUUAAUUUGCAUACUGCAUAAUAUUUUGGUAAAGAGUCAUAUUCAACCUUAACAUGCACUGAGAUGCUAAAUCUAGUUGCACCUUCACCCUUACACAAUUAGAUCUGGUUUUAUUGAUUGUGGAUCAGAUCUAAUUAUAAUGGUUUGCCCACCACGAAUGCCAGAAAAAAGGGAUUCUCCAAUAAAAUAAGUAGGAAAGGUAUUAUAAAAAGAGAUCUAAGCAAUCACUUGAGUUGUCUCUUCGUCCACCUUAAAAUCAGCAUUUUUGUCACGACCCAAUUUACAAGUUAUGAUGACACCUACUUUAUCCCCCAUUAGGUAAGUUGACCCAUGGCCAAGAGCCAGAUGUAAUGGGCUAAUGUAAUACCCCAAACUUUUUUUAAGUCAAAUCUAAUCACCAAAAGAGUUAGUAAUGACUUCCUAAAUGAUUAAUGUUUAAAUCAGUAAGAAUUUUCCUAGUUUUGACUUUUUAUCAUGUGGAAAAUUGAAUUAGAUUUUCAAUGAUACCAAUUUCAUCCAAAUCCGAUAUCAGAGUAGAAAGUUAUGGAUAUUUUACUGAGAGCUGUCAGAAUCACCAGGUGCGAUAGGCAGGUUGACGUACCGUCGAGCUAGCGACAGACCAUAGCCUAAAUUAUCGCAGCUAAGGCAGUAAGUCAUUUUUCUGGCUAAGGUGCGAUGGACAAGUUGAUGGACCAUCGCUACUAAGGAAGUGAGUCCCUAUUCUGGCCCAAGUGCGAUGGUCAGAACGAUGGACCGUUGAGCCAGCGACGAACAUUCGCAGAUUCCAUUUAGCAAUUUAAAGCCAUUUUUAGAAGGGUAUUUGGGUCUUUUUUCACCCGUUUUAACCCCUAAUUAUACCAGCAAUAACUCAUAACUUCAUUAUUCAUUCACAACGUCCAACUAGGAUUUCUCUCAAAGAUCAAUCCCCAAGAAAAAGAAACCCUAGGUGCUUAAUUCCAAGUCAAGAAUUCAAUAUUUCCUCCACAAAUCUUUAAGAAAUUAUCCACCCAGGUAUGUAAAGUGUUCAUUCAUGGAUUCCUUUCGUCCAUGAAUCCCAAGAAUCCAAUUUUAAAUUAUAAAUUAUGAUGUUUAUGUUGUGGAUUGGUUAUGAUUAUGUUGAUGUUGUGUAUGAUAUCCAAUUUGGAAUCGUUAAAUGUGUUUCCAUUAAUUUAUACUAGUACGUCGAUUUAAAUCUACUAAAUUGUGUUGAUUUAUGCAACCAUAAUUAAUUAAUUUAAUGUCCAAGCCUAAGCUUAUAGUUAUGCAUGCAAGGUGUUUGAUAAAAAGCCUAAGAGAAUAGGAAACUUGCCUUAUGACUCAAUGGUGACCAAAAUGAUGAACCUAUGUUUCACCCUUAAGUUCAUAUGACUCCCAUGUGAUUAUUAUGCUUUGUGAUGGAUUAACGAAAUGCUCAUGAGAUUAUGCAUAUGAAAUUAUGACACAUUUACAUGCACUUCUAUUCACUUCUAUUCAUGCGAGAACUUAUGGCAUGCAAAUAAUUCAUGAAUAUCCCCAAUGAUUGUACUAUAAAUUGUUGACUAUGGUUAUGUAUCAAGAAGUGUCAUGUCUUGUCAGUUUUAUGGGGGUACUUGUACCCGAUAAUUUAGUUGUGUGCCUAGAUCCAGUGUCAUGUUUUCAAGAUACUUUCAGUCAAGCCAUGUUCAGUAGAAUUCAGUCAAUCUCAUGACUCAGGAAAACUCAAUAAUCUCAGUAAUCUCAUGAAACACCCCGAAUCUGGUACCCAGAAUGCUACAUGGUGCUCAUGACCCCAAAGGACCACAAGCUAACCCAUGACUGAUAUCUGUACCUGAACACUGCAUAAUAUACUGUAUAAUGUGGAAAUAUGAAAUAAAAGGCCAUAAGGUUCAACAUUGAGAUACAAUAUCUGAUAACAUUUGGGUGGGGUAUGAAAUACCCAAAACAACAGAAAUAAACUGUCUCAACAUAUUGUAGUCUGAAAAGCCUCAAAAUCAUGACUGAACUGUAUGAAUAAGGAGUUGAUGAGACAUGUGCCUAACUAACUCAAACUAAUAAUUUAAUUAAUAAGAUGAUAAAGUAAUGAUCAUGUCCUCAAAAGAUGAGGACUCACUGCUAACUCUGAUUUGCUAAGACUGGAAUCUACUGAUGCUCUGGAGCUCGUGUCUCUAAACCUAUGGUAUAAGACACCAUAGCGCAAAUGCAUCAGUAUUUUGAAUGUAUUGGUAUGCAUUUGAGGUAGGCUAAAUGUAUGGGGUUCAUAUGCAUGAACAAUACUGACUAAUAUUAUGAACGUGAGAAUGCAUGCAUGAAUACAUAGUAACUAUAAUUGAGAUCGUGAUAACAUGAAUUAACUGAUAACUAAUAUGACUGGUAACUGAGUUCUGAUGACUGAUAUAACUGAUAACAUGAGUUACUGUAUCUAAAAGUCCUUAAUCUAAUGGAACUAGCUGAGUUUCGUACUGUUCUGAGAUGACUGUAUCCAACAGUCCUGAAUUCUAUAGAACUAUCUGAGUUCUAUUACUGAGACUGAAUAACUGUAUCUAAUAAUACUGAUUUCUAUAGCUGAAAGUGUGGGAAGUAGUUAUCUAGCGACAUGCCCUAAAUAACGCAUUAUAGUUGAGUUGGGGUACAAUCCAUAACCCCAAUUGGAAGGGUGUCAAUACCGUGCCACCGGUUAGGACAAGCUGUGAGUGACCCUCAUCUGAUAGUGUCCUGAAAAGAGAACGGUGGGGCCUUCAUCUGACAGUGCUUAUCCACCUCAUCAACCCUCAUCUGAUAGAGUUGAUGUCUUAACAUAUGCUGGCUACAUAGUUUUGGAAUGCAAGGAUGACUUCUAAGAAUCACACCCUCAUCUCACUGUGUGUGUUCCCAUCCCGGGGUUCACUCGGUGCUAAUUUCUACUCCUAUCUGAAUAGACACUAUACAUCAAUUACUGAACUAAACUGGACUGAGUUAGCUAAAUUUUGUUGACAGACGAAAUAUUUCUAAGAUUUCUGUAUUACUGAGCUUUCUGAGAUUACUGAGAUUUUUGAGUUUUACUAAGUUUUUCCCGAGUCACAUGACUAACUGAAUUCUACUGAACAUGGCUUGACUGAGGAUAUCGUGAAAACAUAACACUAGCUUUAGAUAUACAGUUAAAUUGUCGGGUACAAGUACCCCCAGGACUCAAUGGAAAGAAACUAACAAAGCAUGACUUUCUUGAAUAUAUGGCUAACAUCACAAUCCAUAAUUCAUUUAUUGAGGCAUUUCACCAAACAUGUGAUAUGCAUAAACUUGUACAUACAUGGGGAUUGUAUAAUAUCAUACUAGUUGGGAAAUUUUCCUUGACAUAGGCAUUUAAUCAAAUAUAUGGUAAGCAUAGUAUAUGUAGACAACAUUAUACAAUAAAUAAACAUCAUGAUUCAGCUGUAAUUUUAUCUUCCAAGGGGUUAAUCAUAGGUUCAAGUGAAUCUACACCUAAAUUGAUCAAUUCCACAUAAAAUUGAUCUGUCGACAUAGAUUAGAAUUCAAUUGGUCAUUAUCAACAUGAACAAAAGCAAACCCAACAUGAAAUUCAUAAAGAAGUCCAUACACUUGAUCUUUGAAAAGAGAUUAUUGGGCUUCAUGGAUGAAAGAAGCCCAUGAAUGAACACUAUGUAUUCCUGGUAGUGAGUUUUCUUGAAGUUCUUGAACUUGAAGAAUUUGAAUCUCUUAGUUCUUGAAGAAGAUUUGGAUUUUGUUGCUAAAGGAUUGCUCUUAGAGAGAAAAACCUAAUUUUUUUUAUGUUGUGGAAGAAUAAUGAACUUAUGAGUCUUGGUCUGAUACAAUUAGGGGUUUAAAACGGGUGAAAAAAGACCCAAAUACCUUUUAAAAAUGACUUGAAAUUUGCUGAACGGGACCUACAAUGGCUUAUGCGACGGUCCAUUGCUGGCUCGACCGUCCGUCGUUUCGAUCGUCGUACGUGAACUAAGAAAAGGAUUCACUGCGUAAGUAGCGACGGUCCGUCGCAAGUUCAACAGUCCGUCAACCUAUCCGUCGCACCUUAUCCUGAAGGUGCCUCACUGCCUUGGCUGUGACGCUCAAGGCGAUGGUCCGUCAACUUGGCCGUCACACCUGGGCGAUUCUGGUAGCUCUGAGUAAAACGUCCAUAACUUUUUACUCUGAUACCGGAUUUUGAUGAAAUUGGUAUUUUUGGAAAGCUAAUUCAAUUUUUCACAUGAUAAAAAGUGAAAAUCUUAAAAAUUCCACUUGUACAAAAAUGGAUUCAUAUUUCAAAGUAAGUUUCUAGCAUUUUUGGGAUGAUUUCAAGCUAGAAAAAAGUACGGGGCAUUACAAUAUCUCCCCCUUGAGAACAUUCGUCCUCGAAUGAGACUGAGUGAGAGGGGUGAAUAUAAACCAAUGUACAUACUGAACAUGAAUGAUUGAAAAAAAUGAUUUCAUGGCUGACAUGACUGAUAACUGAAUAUAUCAUACUGAGCAUGCAUAUCUGGUGCUUGUGUAAUUGAUUCAUGAAUGCAUGACUGAGAGUUCUGAUGAACCAAGGUUCUCACACUGAGAAUACAUUUCUGAUGCAUGAUUAUAUAACAGAACUGAUACAUGAAUGCAUGAAUGAAUAUGCAAUGGUAUUUAAUACCAGGUUUGUGACAAAAUUCUGAACAUGAACUACAUACCAAGCUUGUAAUUGAAGUCUGAACAUGAAACUGAAAAGCUUAAGGAGAACUGUUACCUUGAGCUUGAUUUGAGUUGGCGGAUAAGAGGUAAGGAUACUUGGUUCGCAUAUCUGCUUCUGCUUCCUAAGUAGCUUUCUCAACGGACUGAGUUUGCCAAAAAUCUUUGACUAGAGGGACUUCUUUGUUCCUCAGUGUACGAGUUUGAUAGUCUAGGAUUUCGACUGGAAUAUUUUCAUAAGAGAGGCUGUUCUAAACAUCUAUGCUCUGAAUAGGGACUACAACUACUGGAUCACCUAUGCACUUCUUAAGCAAAGAGACAUGGAAGACUUGAUGAACUAAGGAUAGAUCUAAAGGCAAUUCGAGCUCAUAAGUUACCUUGCCAAAGCGGCUGAGAAUUUUGAAGGUAUCGACAUAUCGAGGACUGAGCUUUGCCUUCUUUCCAAACCUCUUCACUCCCUUCAUGGGAGAGAUCUUUAGAUUGACAUAAUCACUAAUCUCGAACUCAAGAUCCUUUCUACGAACAUUUGCAUAAGAUUUCUGUCGGCUCUGGGCAGCCCGGAGUCUUUCUCUAAUCAAUUGGACCUUUUCUAAGGCAUCGAAUACUAAGUCAGGCCCUAUAACUGAGGCCUUACUAACUUUGAACCAAGCGAUUUGAGAUCUGCAUCUCCUACUAUAGAGAUCUUCAAAUGGAGCUAUUUGAAUACUGGAAUGAUAGCUAUUGUUGUAUGGAAACUCAAUCAAAGGCAAGUGGUCAUCCCAACUACCCUUGAAAUCAAUUGCACAUGCCUUUAGCAUAUCUUCUAGGGUCUGAUUGGUCAUUUCUGCUGGGGAUGAAAGGUUGUAUUGAGAUGAACUUAGGUACCAAGACCCUUUUGGAAUGCUUUCCAAAAAUGAGAGGUGAACUGGGUACCUCUGUCUAAGAUAAUGGAUAACGAAACACCGUGCAAUUUGACCAACUCUCUGAUGUAGAGUUUGGCGUCAUCCUCGGCUGAAUAAGAGGUAUGGACUGGAAGGAAAUAAGCUGAUUUGGUCAUUCUUUCUAUAAUGAUCCAAAUUGAAUCAUACUGGCAAUGAGUACGAGGCAAACCCGUCAUAAAGUCCAUGUUCACUUCUUCCCACUUCCAAGUAGGAAUACUGAGCUCCUGCAUGGACCCACUAGACUUCUGAUGUUUUAUCUUAACCUGUUGAUAUGUAAAGCACUUAGCCAUAAACUCUGCAAUAUCUCUCUUCAUCCCACUCCACCAAUAGAUUCCUCGCAAGUCACGGUACAUCUUUGUGGCCUCUAGAUGAAUAUAAUAGUGCGCAUCAUGCGCUUCUGUAAGAAUUCAUUGCCUUAAGUCGUUUACACCUGGAACACACAGAUGACCCUAACAAUGCAAAACACCAUCUCCCUCUUAGGAGAAAACCUCUACUUUCUGAUCCUUGACCGAUUCUGUUAACUAGACAAAGCUCGAAUCUCUAUCUUACUUUACUUUCACCUUGGAAACUAGAGAUGACUCUAAACUACUCUAAACCCAUAUGUCACCCUCAUCUGAAUCGACUAAGCAAACACCUAGUCUGGCAAGCUGAUGGAUUUGCUGAGCUAACUUCUUCUUACUGUCCUCAACAUGAGCAACACUACCUAUGGACAGUCUACUAAGAGCGUCAGCCACUACGUUGGUCUUGCCUAGAUGAUAAAGAACACUCAUGUCAUAAUCUUUCAAGAGCUCUAACCACCUUCUCUGACGAAGAUUGAGAUCUUUCUGAGAAUAAACAUACUGAAGGCUCUUAUGAUCUGUGAACACAUCAACAUGAACACCGUAUAGAUAAUAUCUCCAAAUCUACGGCUGCUAACUCGAGAUCAUGAGUAGGAUAAUUCUUUUCAUGGGUUUAAGCUGCCUAGAGGCGUAGGCUAUAACCUUACCUUACUGCAUGAAGACACAACUCAAACCUACUUUGGAUGCAUCACAAUACACUACAAAACCAUCUGAACCAUCUGGAAGAGCUAAGACUAGAGUUAAGGUAAGUCAAGUCUUCAACUUCUGAAAACUCUUCUUGUAAGGAUCUGACCACUGAAACUUAAUUUUUUUCUGAAUCAAUUUGGACAUAGGGGAUGUAAUAGAAGAAAAUUCAUCAAAAACCACCUGUAAUAGCCUGCCAAACCAAAGAAACUCCUGAUAUCUGAUGGAGAGACAGAUCUAGGCCAUUUUCUUACUGCUUCAGUCUUUUAAGGAUCUACUCUAACGCCAUCAACGGAAAUGAUAUGACCAAGGAAGAAAUGCUACUGACCUUAGCCAAAAUUUGCACUUCUUGAAUUUGGCGAAUAACUAAUGAUCUCUGAGGGUCUGAAGUACAAUUCUGAGAUAUUCUGCAUGAUUACACUCUUUGCAGGAAUAGACCAGAAUAUCAUUAAUGAAGACUAUGACGAACAUUUCCAAGUACUGCUUGAACACGUGGUUCAUCAAGUCCAUGAAAGCGGUUGGGGAAUUGGUAAGACCAAAGGAUAUAACUAAGAAUUUAAAGUGACCAUACCGAGUAAGAAAUGCUAUUUUUGGAAUGUCACAUUCUCUGACUUUGAGCUGAUGAUAGCCUGAUCUGAGGUCUAUCUUAGAGAAGUAACUGGCACCCUAAAGUUGUUCAAACAAGUCAUCGAUUCUGGGAAAAGGAUACUUGUUCUUGACCGUGACUUUAUUGAGAUGACGGUAAUCAAUACAUAUUCUAAGAGAACCAUCUUUCUUGCGCACAAAUAAAAUUGGUGCACCCCACGAAGACACGCUAGGCCUAAUAAAUCCCUUAUCUAAGAGAUCAUUCAACUGGUCUUUCAAUUCUCUGAGUUCUACUGGUGCCAUUCUGUAUGGCAAAAUAUAUAUAGGCUGAGUAUCUGGAAGAAGAUCAAUGCUGAAGUCUAUUCCCCUUUCAGGAGGAAUUCCUGUAAGAUCUUCGAGAAAGACAUCUGAAUAUCCAUUCACUACUAGGACUGAAUCAAGACUGGGAGUUUCAGAACUAGUGUCCUUAACUCGAAUAAGAUGAUAGACACACCCUUUAGAUAUCAUUUUUCAUGCUCGAAGGUAGGAAAUAGGCUGACCUUUGAAAGCGGAUACACUACCCUUCCACUCUAGGAUGGGUUCAUUCGAAAACUUAAACUGAACUAUUCUGUUCUUGCAGUCGACUGUGGUAUAGAAGGAAUGAAGCUAAUCCAUGCCAAGAAUGACAUCAAAAUCAGUCAUCUCUAAUUUGACUAAGUCUACUGAAGUGACUUUUUGAAAUAUCAUAAUCGGGCUAUUCCUGUAUACCCACCGAGCUAUGAUGGUUUUACCCUCUAAGGUAGAAACUGAAAAGGGCUCUGCUAGAUUUUUGGGACUGACUCUAAAAUCCACUGCUAUAUAGGGAGUAACAAAAGACAAAGAAGCUCCUGGAUCUAGCAAAGUGUAAACAUGAACAUAAAAGAUCUAUAACGUACUAGUAACAACAUCAGGAGAAUUUUCCUGAUCUUGGCGGGACUGGAGAGCAUUAAGUCUAUUUAGGUGUUGCCCACUAGUAACAUUGGAGGUGGUACCCUAUUGGUUUGGGCGAUCAGACUGAGCUGAGGAAUGGUUCUGCUGACCCUAACCUGACUGAGGACAAACUUUGACUCUAUGGCCUGGCUUGCCACAUCCAAAAUAGACAACGCUACUAGCUCUGCAAACACCCUUAUGGUUCUUACCAUAAGUCUGACAAAGGGGAUUUGUUCGGGCAUUGCUGACACUGCCCUGAGACUUUGAACCUAGUGUCCUAUCUCUAUUACCAUCCCUGAACUUCGAAGUUUGAGCACUAACUGAAGACUUAGGAUGAAACUGAGAACGAUUUCCUCCUGAUUUGGGCUGAGCAAAGUUGAAACUACCUGUCCUUGCCUUCUUAUUCUGCUUCUCCCUCAUCUUAAUCUUUUGCUCCUCUAUCUACUGAGCAUAAGUUAUAAGCCUGGCUAGAGUCAUUUCACUAUUCAACAUCGCUAACCUACACUCGUUGACCACAUCAUCAUUCACCCAGAACAAACUUACGCAUCUUGGCCCUGCUGUCUGCAACCACAUGAAGGGAUAUCUUGAUAAUUGAUUAAAAUUAAGAGAAUACUCUUUCACCAUCAUUUUACCCUGCUCGAGGUUGAUGAAUUCUAACACCUUUGCUUCUCUCAGCUCUAGGGGAAAGAACCUCUCUAAGAAUGUAUUGACAAACUCCUCCCACUUAAUAGGCCCUGCAUCAUUUGGUUUUUCUGACUUUCACUGUUUAAACCAAGUAUGUGCAACAUCCUACAACUGAUAUGCAGUUAGCUCAGCACUCUCAACAAAUGAAAUCCCCAUAAAGUCAGUAACCUUCUAAACCUGAUCGAUGAAUUCCUGAGGGUCAUCAUCUGACUUAGACUCGAGAAAGGAUGGAUGAUUCAUUUGGGUGAAGUCCCGAAUCAUGGCUGCAGCUGAAUUGGACACUUGGCUUGCCGGAAUGACAGUUGGUCAUUCAUUCAGAGCAGUAACUGACUGAGCAAGAGGAGUGAAUGUAGCUCUAAACUCUGCAUGAGAAACAUGUUCGUCCAAAGGUUCUUUGGGCUGAGGGGCUGACUGAUUCCUGUUUCUUCUUUUAGGAGGCAUGUUCUGUAGAAAAAAGGAAGAAAUAGAUUAGACUGAGAGAUUGACUUGAGACUAUGCUCACUGUCAUGACAUGAAUACUGUAAGAAGGCAAUUUGUUCCUAAAACAUCUUAUAGCCUCCUGUACAUAAAUGUGGUGCACAACACACCCAUGUACAAGACUCUACUAGAUGUGAUUUUCAGACUUCCUAGGGCACUAUUGAACCUUAGGCUCUGAUACCAAGUUUGUAACGCCGUAAAUCUAGUACCAAAAAUGCUACACGGUGCUCAUGACCCCGAAGGACCACAAGCUAAUCCAUAACUGAUAUAUAUACCUGAAUACUGCAUAGUAUAUUAUAUAAUAUGGAAACACGAACUGAAAGGCCGUAAGGUUCAACAGUGAGAUAUAAAAUUCUAUAAAAAUAUAAAAUCUGGUGGGGUAUGAAAUACCCGAAACAACUGAAAUAAACUGUCUGAACAUACUAUAAUCUGAAAAGCCUCUAAAUCAUAACUUAAUUGUAUAAAUAAGAAGUUGAUGACCAUGUCCCCAACUGACUCUAACUAAUAAAUUAAUUAAUGAAAGAUGAGGACUCACUACUAACUCUGAUUUGCUGAGACUGGAAUCUACUGAUGCUCUGGAGCUCAUGUCUUUGAACCUAUGGUAUAAGACACCAUAGCGCAAAUACGUCAGUAUUUUGAAUAUACUGGUAUACUUGUGAGGUAGGCUGAAUGCAUAGGGUUCAUAUGUAUGAACAAUACUGACGAACUGUCUAAUAUGAACGUGAGAAUGCAUGCAUGAAUACGUAGUAACUAUAACUGAGAUUGUGAUAACAUAAAUUUACUGAUAACUAACAUGACUGGUAACUCAGUUCUGAUGACUGAUAUAACUGAUAACAUGAGUGACUGUAUCUGACUGUCCUGAAUCUGAUGAAACUAGCUGAGUUAUGUACUAUUCUGACUUGACUGUAUCUGACAGUCCUGAAUUCUGUAGAACUAUCCGAGUUCUAUUACUGAGAUUGAAUGAAUGUAUUUGACUGUGCUAAUUUUUGUUUGCUGAAACUGUGGGAAGUAGUUAUCUAACUGACAUGCCAUAAAUAAUGCAUUAUAGCUGAGUUGGGGUCUAAUUUAUAACCCCAAUUGGAAGGGUGUCAAUACCGCGCCACUGGUAAGGACAAGUUGUGAGUGACCCUCAUCUGACAGUAUCCCCAAAAGAGAACGGUGGGCCCCUUAUCUGAUAGUGCUUAUCCACCUCAUCAGCCCUCAUCUCUCAUCUAACAGUGUUGAUGUCUCAAUAUUUGCUGGCUACAUAGUUCUGGAAUGCAAGGAUGACUUCUUAGAAUCACACCCUCAUCUGAUAGUGUGUGUUCCCAUCCUUGGAUUCAUUUGGUGCUAAUUUUUACUCCCAUCUGAAUAGACACUGUACAUGAAUUAUUGAACUGAACUGGACUAAGUUAGCAAUAUUUUGUUGACUGACAGAAUAUUACAGAGAUUUUUGUAUUACUGAGCUUUCUGAGAUUACUGGGAUUUUUGAGUUUUACUGAGUUUUUCCUGAGUCACAUGACUAACUAAGUUCUACUGAACAUGGCUUGAUUUGACACUGGCUCUAGGCACAGCUAAAUUGUCGAGUAAAAGUACUCCCAGGACUCGAUGGAAAGAAACUGACAAAGCAUGACUUUCUUGAAUACAUGACCAACAUCACAAUCCAUAAUUAUUUUUUUGAGGUAUUUCAUCAAACAUGUGAUAGGCUUAAACGUAUACAUACAUGGGGAUUGCAUAAUAUCAUACUUGUUGGGCACUUUUCCUUCACAUAGGCAUUUAAUCAAACACAUAGUAAGCAUAGUGUUUCAUGAAUCUACACCUAUACUAAUCAAUUCCACAUAAAAUUGAUCAUCCAACAUGGAUUAGAAUUCAAUUGGUCAUUAUCAACAUAAAAAAAGCAAACCCAACAUGAAAUUCAUAAAGAAAUUCAUACACUUGAACUUUGAAAAGAGAUUCUUAGGCUUUAUGGACGAAAGGAAUCCAUGAAUUAACACUAUGCAUACCUGGUAGUGACUUUUCUUGAAUUUCUUGAACUUGAAGAAUUUUAAUCUCUUAAUUCCUGAAGAAGAUUUGGAUUUUGUUGCUUAAGGAUUGCUCUUAGGGAGAAAACCCUAAGUUUUUGAUGUUGUGGAAGAAUAAUAAACUUAUGAGACUUGGUUUGAUAUAAUUAGGGGUUUAAAACGGGUGGAAAAAGACCCAAAUACCCUUUAUGACUUUAAAUUUAUUGAACGGGACCUGCAACGGCUCGUGUGACGAUCCGCCACUGGCUCGAUGGUUCGUCAUUUCGAUCGUUGUACAUGGACCAAGAAAAGGAUUCAUUGCCUAAGUAGCAAUGGCUUGGGUAACGUUCCAUCAGAAGUUCGACGGUCCAUCAACUUGUCCGUCACACCUUAUCUAGAAGGUUGCCUCACUACCUUGGCUGCAAUGGUCAAGGCGACGGGCCAUCACUGGGUCGACGGUGCGUUAACUUGGCCGUUGCACUUGGGCGAUUCUGGCAGCUUUGAGUAAAAUGUCCAUAACUUUUUACUCCAAUAUCGGAUUUGGACAAAAUUGCUAUCGUUAGAAAUCUAAUUCAAUUUUCCACAUGGUAAAAAGUGAAAAUCUUAAAAAUUUCAUGUUUACAAAGAUGGAUUCAUAUUUCAAUGUAAGUUUCUAGCAUUCUUGGGAUGAUUUCAAGCUAGGAAAAAAUACGGGGUAUUACAUCUCAGUCAGUUAUCAGAUCUCGGUGAUACCCUGUUAGUUAACGGAGCUUAGUAAUCUCAAUCCUAUCAGUUCAGUAUAAUUAAUUCAGUGUCUAAUCAGAUGGGAGUAGGAUUCAGCACUGAGUGAGCCUAAUGAUGGGAACUCACUUGCGAGUAAAGGGUGUGAUUCUUAGAAGCAAUCCUUGCGCUCCAGAACUACGUAGCCAGCGUAAGUUGAGACAUCUAAUCUGUUAGAUGAGGGUUGAUGAGGUGCCUUAACCUGUUAUAUGAGGGUUCUACCGUUCUCCUUAGAGUACCUGUUAAAUGAGAGAUCACUCACAGCUUGUCUAUACUAGUGGCGUGGUAUUGACACCCUUCCAAUUGGGGUUACACCUUGGACUCCAACUCAGCUAUAUUGUUUUAUUUGGGGCAUGUUAGUUAGAUGACUACUUCCCACAGUUACAGUCUCAGUCUCAAUAAUAGAACUCAGAUAGUUCUACUGAAUUCAGGACUGUCAGAUACGAUCACCCAAUUCAGUACGACACUCAGCUUGUUUCAUCAAAAACAAGACUGUCAGACACAGUCAUAUAGUAUAACAGUUAUACUAAACCUAUGUUAUCAUUAUUCAGAUUUAGUGAUGUCUUGAUCUCAGAUACAUUUCACGUAUUCAUGCAUGUAUUUUCACGUUCUUCUUAUUUGGUUAGGUAGUUCAUGCAUAUAAACCCUUGCAUUCAGCCUACCUUACUUGCUUACCAGUACAUUCAAUCGUACUGACGUAUUUGUGCUAUGGUGUAUAGAACUCAGAUAGUUCUACUGAAUUCAAGACUGUCAGAUACAGUCACCCAAUUCAGUAUGAAACUUAGCUAGUUUCAUCAGAAACAAGACUGUCAGACACAGUCAUUUGGAUAAUAGUACAAUAGUUAUACGAAACCUAUGUUAUCAGUAUUCAGAUUCAGUGAUGUCUUGAUCUCAGAUACAUUUCACGUAUUCAUGUAUGUAUUUUCAUGUUCAUGUUAUUUUGUUAUUUGGUCAGGUAGUAUUGUUCAUGCAUAUAAACCCUUGCAUUCAGCCUACCUCACUUGCAUACCAGUACAUUCAAUCGUACUGACGUAUUUGCGCUAUGGUGUUUUAUACCAUAGGUUUAGAAGCACGAGCUCCAGAGCAUCAGUAGCAUUCUAGUUUUGGCAGUCAGAGUUAGCAUUGAGUCCUCAUCCUUCGAGGACAUGAUCAUUACUUUAUUAUAUGAUUACUUAGUUUAUUUUAGUAGUUGGAUUUAGUUGGGGACAUGUCCCAUCAACUCCUUAUUCAGACAGUUUAGUUUUAGAGGCUUUUAGACUACAGUAUGUUCAGACAGUUUAUUUCAGUUCAUGUUUUGGUAUUGAUAUACCGUACUCUCAGAUAGUAUGUUUUAGCCGUUUUGAACCUUAUGGUAUGUUCUAGUCUAUUAUUUCUGCAUUUUACAUGAUUUCAUACAGUAUACAGGAACACAUAUCAGUCAUGGGUUAGCUUGUGGUCAUUCGAGGUCAUGAGCAUCGUGAAGCAUUUCGAGUACUAGAUUCGGGGUGUUACAACUAAUUUGGUGGAAAAUGGCCUAAAAACCAAAAAUUAACAAAUAAAAACUAGAAAGGAAUAGUAAAUCACAAUUGUUUAAUGGAUAAAUACAAAAUCAACAACCUUAACAAGACUCAGUAAUGUCGGUACAAGCGCUACUACAAAUGAACAAUAAGUACUAAAUAGUCAAAUAAAAUCCUUCUCAAAGAUGAAUGACUAGACAUAGAUAAAUGGAAGGAAAAGGAUAACUCCAACUAUAAGAGCUCACCCAAUCUCAAAAAUCAAUCCUACACGUGGGUCGAAUUAGCGUUGGCAACUAUUACUCGGAUCUAUACCAAAAAUCUACAUAAGUGUAAUAUGAGUACCAAAACCAUGGGUACACAGUAGGUAUCAUCGGCUGACUGAGCUAAAUCAUGAUAUUAAUCUGAUUAUGUACAAGAUAAAAUAAGUUAAGUCAAGACAAAAGGUACAAACUUGGAAGUAAGCUCUAACACUGAUGUACAGAAAUAAAUAAGUGCAUAUGAAAUAGUAACAUAAAGAUCCCAAACUAUAUCUAAAAGAUUGGCCCCAUAAAACAAUAAGUGGAUAAAAAUAAAUAACCUAACGCAGGUCGACAUAAGCCUAGAGAGUACAAUUAAGGAAACUAAGAAAUCGAUUAGCCAUGAAUAGCAAAUUAUCAUGCAAUAACAAAGAAUCCAUCCAAACCAUAUCAUCUCACACAUAAUUCUCAAUACUGGACUUAAACUAAAACUUAAUAAUAUCAUCAUCAUUAUCAUCAAUUUCCAAACUUGAACUAAAACUCAUAGUAUCAUUAUUAUUAUCAAUUGUCAGACUCAAACUGGAACUCAUAUUUAUAAAACAUAUCAACAAACCAUAUCGAUAAUCUAACUCAAUAGACUAUACCAAGGACACUGUAACUAUUCAUAAUACCUUUUACUCAUACCUAUACAUCAGAUCAAGAAUUACAAUCAUAAUUCAUAUAGAUACCCACACCCAUAGGCCAUACCAAAACCGCAUCUAUGAAGUCAUAUUAAUAAUCGUGACCAUAGUCCAUGUCAAUAGUCAUAUUUAUAGGUUAUAUCAAUAAUCAUAGCUAUAAGCCAUUAAUCAUAUUUGUAAGCCAUUAAUCAUAUCUAUAUGCCAUUAAUAAUAUCAAUAAGCCAUAACGUUAAUCACAUUGAUGGUCUUAUUAUUAAUCAUUUUCGAAAGCCAUAUCAAUAAUCAUAUUUAUAUACAAGCCAUACCAUUAGCAACACCCAGAAUUAGCAUCAAUCAUUCAAUAUCCAAAUAAUAUACUCAUUAAAUAUAUUCAAUUUCCUCAAGUUCAAACCAAAUAUUAAUAAGUGUAUAUCAUGCGUAAAUAAGUUUACAAAGCUAACAUAAGUCUUGGCCAAAGAAAUAUUGGAGGGGCUCACUUCUAAUUCUCAAAAUCCAUUUUAGGCAACUUUUAUGCCAGACUAGGCUAAGGUAUCUAAGUUCAUAUCUAGAUGUUUAAUAAGGUAUAAAUAGCCCUAAGAUAGUAAUUCUUUCCAAACAUGAACAACUUUGUCAAUCCCACUUGAAAUAAUAGAAACUAAAGCAAUUUCCCUUAACUUAAGAAACUAAGGCCAAUUCAUGCUAAACAUGAAUGGCUAAGGCAAUUUUACCUACCUGGAGUAACUAAGGCAUUUCCAUUCUAAACAUGGGCUGUGAAGCCAAAUUCACCUAAGACAUGAGUAACUAAGCUAAUUACUCCUAAUUUAUGGGUUCAAGAUAGAAUAAAUGGUUCAACUAACCCAAAUCUUCUCAUUCAUACUUCCAACACAUAAAUCUCACACCUUAUCUAGCAUAUUAUCAUAAUCAAACUUUGAGAUAGCUCAACAUAAAGAAGGUAAACCUUACCUGGAUGCCAAUGAAAAGCCUAAAGAAUUCACUAAAUUACCAAUUUUCCACUUUGAGAAGCUUCCGUAAGGUACCACACUAUCAAAAUCAUAUUCUACUCAUCAAAAUAAUAACAAUGAUACCUAUAUUGGACUAUUUUAAUUUGAGUUCAAAAUGAUGUAAAAUUCCUAUAUGGGGCCCUGUUGUGAAAUCAAACUUUCAAAUUAAGAAAUUUUUACCCUAAAAAUGGGUGAAAUCCCAGCUAUAAUGGUGCUAAAACUAAGCCACCACGCUUUUAGUGAUUUUAAAAAAAGAUAAAGGAUUUAAUCCUAAAAUAAAUGGAAGCUUAGCACGAGUUUGAGGAAGAAACAUGCAAAUAUACUUUACCCAAGCUCCAAAAACACCCACAAUUCAUUCUCCCAAGAUUUCCCACUUUUUAGGGUUUAAUACUCUAAGAAAUGGGAGAGGAAUGGUGCAAAUCAAGCUAAGUGGGGUAGUCAUACACUUCUAGGUACAUGGAUGCCGCUAAAGCGGACACUGGAUCACUUUAGCAAUCGGCGCUAAAACACCUAGUUGAUACUAUAUCUGUCCCCUAGUGACAUGAUAGGAUGCUAAAGCAAUUGAUUUUCUCUAAACCAACAAGCGCUUUAGCGGCUAAUUAGCCAUUAAAUCGGCACUUGCCGAGGUGGUUGCUGUGCUAUUGCAAUAUAACAUUUUUGACUCUUAAAGCGAGAAAAAUAUGCAAGUUUCUAAGUUUUUUUUGUUAGGUAUGAUGCGUUUUAGGUAUGUUUUGCAGGAAAUCAUGUUUUAGAUGCUAAGUUCCUAAAAAAGGUGAAAAAAGGUGUUUUUGGAUACCCAUACAUGUAUUGCUUUAUCUCUUUUAUAAUAGUUUUUUAAUAGGUGCACACAUUACGAUCCUUCUUAGAUUAUUACUACUUACCCCAAAAGAGGAGUAGUGACUAGGAAAAGAAAACAAUACUAAUUUGGAGUUUAGCUGUCAAUCCAUGCAUCUAGGGUUUAUCUUAGUAUGAUGGUUAGCAUUUUUCUAAUAACUAGAGAAUCAAAAGGUAAUAGUUUACUGUGAUCAAGAUAAGGGUUAGUAAGUCGACAUCCUGAGACUCAAAAGUUAAAUAGGGAAAUCCUUCUACUUAUCUAAAAGACUAUAGAAGGUACAUAACUUAUCAAUUCUGCAUGUAAAGUAUUGAGUUGGUUCAACAAAGCACGAUAAGACUACGAAGUUGAGAAUCUAGGGGGAACACAAUCAUAUUUUUCACGACUGAUUAUAACUGAUGUUAUUUCUAUUAGUUUGACACUGAUACUUAAACCCCCUCCCCUCAUUUACUUUUCCAAUUUAGCCCAUUGAUUACAACAACUGAGCGCCGUGAAUCCAUGCAUUCCUAUGGGAUUCGACCCCAACCUUUAUUGGGUUACUAUAUUUGGCAAUGAACGUAUCAUCUUUGUAAAGAAGGUAUAGCUUGGAUAUCACUAAUUUUUGGCACUGUUGCUGGGUAAUUACGGUGAUCAUUUGUGAAUUGAACUUGUUGUAGUUUUUCGGUUUUCUUAUUAUUUUAUUCUUAGUUAGUCAUAUGCUGGUGUAUGCCUAGCACAUGGAGUAGUGUCAAUCCCUUACUCCCACUGAAUAUAAAUCUAGAGAGGAUCCUACUAACACCUAGUAGGAUGUCAGAGCAGAAAAGAGAUGAUCUUUCUGAAAGGUUCGUGAUAUUGUACCUCCCCUUCCUCCCAAAGGAGUACAAAAUAUUGUUGAUCGUCAAAGAGUGAUUUGUUAACUCAAAAUGAGAACAAGAGGAGGGCAAUAGAAGAAGCUCAGUACGUAGCUCAGGAAUCAGAGCUAUCCGAGAAGAGACAAGCAGUAGACCACUGAGCAGCACUCAAUUGGAAUCAGAACAGAGCUAGAGGUGCCCGUGUUCAAGUGAUCCCAGCGUAUCAGUAUGUGCAACCAUAAAUAAAUAAUGAAUAAGAUUUGGUAUACAUUGAUUCAGUAGAGACUAGAGCCAUUAUUCCUUCCUUUUUACCCAGGCAUCAAGUUUGACAUCAUCAAAGCAAUGCUCCAGCUCUUAAAUGUAAAGGAUGUGUUUGCAGGUUUGCCUACAAAUGAUGCAAAUUUUCACUUUGCCAAUUUCAUUGGAAUCUGCACUUCGUAUACAAAUCUAAGGGGGAAUUAUAAAACUCUUAGACUAAGGUUGUUCCCGUUCUCACUUACAAAAGAAAUAUUUUUAUGGUUAGGGGAACUGCCAAGAGGCUCUAUCACUACAUGGAACGAGUUGCACAGACAAUUAUUGAAUAGGUUCAUUUCUCUAUCCUGGAUGUUGUAGCUUAAGGAUGAGAUUUAUAAUUUUAGGUAGCCAUAGUUAGAAUCUAUGUACGAGGCAUGGUUCAGAAUUGAGAAGAAGAUCAGUAUAGUUCCCAACCAUCGGUUAUUAGGGACAAACUUAUUGGAGAUAUUUUAUCGAGCCUUGACCAUCUGCUUCAGAACUAUGACAGACACCAUAUCUAGAGGAGCUUUUAUAAGACUAUGCUGGAAGAUAGCUUCAGAGAUGUUUGAUCAGAUCUUACUCACUAACCGAGGGUCACAAACUAGAGAGUCUGAGAGGGGAUUGGGCACAGAUGCUAUUAGUGCCUCCUGCGGCCAGAAAGUAGCGAUGCCACAGUAGCAAAAGAGAUUACAUUGCUAAGAACUGAUCUAGGAGUACUAGCAAAGUAGCUUGCAACAGCAACUUUUGGGAAAAUAAAUGCAAAAGUAGCACAUGGGUCAGCUUCUAAAGAAGACGAGUUAGAAUUAAAAAAGAAAGCCAAUUAUUUAGAUCAUCAUUUAGCGGGUUUCCGAGCCCAAGGGAAAGGGAAACAAGGUCAGAACUACUAUGAUAGAUAAAGAGACCAUAACAGAGAGCCAGAUUGUGGUAACUAGAGGAAAAAGUAUGACUACAGAGAAAAGGGAGAUGGGUACAUUCUGCCUGGCAGACGAUAUAUGCAGUAUCAAGAAUAAAAGUAUGCUGGCUAAUCUAGUGAAAGGUAAAAAAUAUCAAGAGAUCAACCUUAAGGAUAUUAAGGCCAACAUUUCAGGGUUGACCCAAAAGGUCUAAUCUCAUGGAAUUGGUAUCAAGCAGUUGGAGCACCAGUUUAGGUAGAUGUCAGCAACUCUGAACCAGAGAUAGCCAAGUUCCCUUCCGAGCAAUACUAUGCAGAAUCUGAAAAACUAUAGUCAUGUCCUUGCCAUUACCACAAGGAGUGGUUUUCUAUCUCAAAUCCCCCAUUUCUUAUUGCAGAAGCUGAUGAUAAUAAGACACCUAUUAUGGAGAUACAAUAGGCAGUAGGUGGGAUGAUGUAGUUUCUAAGGAAAAAGUAAAGGCAUAAUUGUUGAGUGGGAAAUAAGACAAACUCCAAGACCGCCCCUACCUUUUCCUCGACGACUAUAGCAGAAAAAGAGGAAAGGAAAAUUCACGUGAUUUAUUAAGAUGAAAGAAUUAAGCUUAAAUAUACCUCUUCUCGAGGCGUUGGAGCAGGUGCCUAUAUAUGCCUGGUUUAUAAAGCAGUUGCUCAAAAGGAAGAAAGGAUCAACUAUCAAGGAUGUUGAUGGCCUACACCACUGUAGUAAAGUCACUAUAAGGUCCUUGGGGUAGAAAAAGGGUGAUCCCAGAGCAUUUACUAUACCAUGCACUAUUGGGUCAUCCUAAUUUGACAGUCCCUUAUAUGACUUAGAAGCCAACAUGAAUUUGAUGUCGUUGGUCGUAUUUAAGUAAUUGGGUUUGAACCAUUCGAAACUGAAUUCAAUAAGGUAUUUGAUGGCUGACCUCAUAGUGAAGAAGCCUGGAAUCUCAUUUGAUGUGAUAAUAAGAGUGGACAACUUUAUCUUUCUAGAUGACUUCGUCAUUUUAGACUGUAGGUGAGUCACCGAGAUGUCCAUUAUAUUGGGAAGACAAUUUAUGGCCACAGGUAGAGCGAUGGUUGACGUUGAGAAAGAAGAGUUGAAAUUUAUAGUCAACGGUGAGAAGGCCAUAUUCAAUAUCCAAUAAUCAAUAAAGAAGCCUACCGACAUGAGAGUAGUGUUGGUGAUUGAUUGUACUGAGGCCCUGGACGAUACUCCUAUAGGUAUAUUGGUAAAUUCUGAGUAAUCAAGACACCCGCCUCGUGUUGUGACAUUAAAUCAAGAGCUUCAUGGAAGGCAACCCAUAGGCGUGUUUGUGAAGUCUGAUUAACCAACACAACCACGUCGUGUCAUGAUAUUAAAUCAGGCGCUGAGUAGGACGCAACUCACUAUUUUUAGUGUUCAUAAUUUUGUUGUUUUUCCUUUUUAUAGGUUGAUUGGCUCUUGGACUUACAUAGAAUAUGGUAAAAAUUCCUACAUUCAUUGAUUUUCAGGUAAGAGGACUAUGUGAUCAACCCAUCAUGUUCACAAGUCCCCCACGGUAAGUUGAUUAAUAAAUUGAAAAGUCAAAAUUUUGAGGAUGAAAAAUGGAAAUUGGUGGACUUUGGCAUCUAAUCAUACUUUUGGGACCUCAACCAUAGAUUACAAGACCAUAAGUAGCUAGAAAAAUAUUGAAAUGCCAAGUCUAGAGUGCAGAAAAGCGGGCCAAAAAUUUUGUCCCAUCACUUGUGCACUACACCUGCUAGCCACAAGCACACUUGCGCCCUAUGCUUGGCCGCAGGUGGGAGGCGCAAGUGCUAUCGCGACUAGGUCAAAAAGUGGGCCAAAUUUCCAAUUCAAAAUUUGAAGCCCACAACCACAUAUAUAUGACCUAAAACAGCCCCCACCUAUAUUUAAACAUCCUUCACCUUAUUCUAACUCAUUUAGAUCCUAAAAAAAUCACUUUUCUCUUUGAAUUCAAACUUUCCUCUUAAAACACAAACUAAUCCACACUCAACAUUUGUUUUUCUCGAGUUCUUCAUUGUUCACUUCUAGUUCAUCUAAAAGGGGCAGCUUUCUUAGCUCCAAAGUGUUCUAUAUUGAUUUCUUCAUUAUUUGAACAAGUUGAUUUGUGUAUUCUCAAGGAAAAUAUAUAGAUUCUAUCAUACUUGUAUGAAGUAACCUUGACGUAGCCUAAUAUCAUAAUGUAGUGCCUUGUUUUGAAUUAAAUUCUUAGGUUAAGCCCCAACCAAAAGUUGAACUUGAAGGAAUAGAGUAAAACCACAUGUUUAGCAUGUUGAGUUUGCUUUGAAAAGCAUUAUUCAUAUUUGUGUACAUUGGACCUGUUGGGAUUUCAAAUAGGUUAAAUGGGUGUGAAAAUUUAGGAAAUUUGAACUUUUUGAAUUUUGAGUUUUUCUUCAACUUUUGCUAUCCCUCACUUUUUUUUGAAACUAACAACUGAUUUUUCAGGUAUAUAUGCACUUAAAGCUAUGUAUAAGAACAAGGCUGAUACCUCAAGGAGACAGGUAGAGUCUCCUGAGCCUAGUGGUUUAGUGGAGGACUACCCAAGAAAGCAACGCAGAGACACUGCAGUUCAGGUGACACGAUAAGUUACUAGAGAGCAUAUGCGCCAGGAUGCUCAGACAGUUACAACCCAACCUAGGAUGAACUCAGUGAUAAAGCUUAACUUACACGUUAAUUUAAGUGCAAGGUGAUCAUUGUCAAUAUAUUUACCCAACUUUAGAGUCGGGUUUGAAUCCAUGAGGAACAAUGUGAGUGGCGAUCAAAUUAAUUUGAAAUGAUAGAUACAAGUCAAAUUCAAACAAAUGGUACAAAAAAGAUAAAAUGG